UUCGGGAAACCGGAGCUAAUACCGGAUAGGUUCUUCCCUCACAUGAGGGAAGAUGGAAAGACGGUUUCGGCUGUCACUUACAGAUGGGCCCGCGGCGCAUUAGCUAGUUGGUGAGGUAACGGCUCACCAAGGCGACGAUGCGUAGCCGACCUGAGAGGGUGAUCGGCCACACUGGGACUGAGACACGGCCCAGACUCCUACGGGAGGCAGCAGUAGGGAAUCUUCCGCAAUGGACGAAAGUCUGACGGAGCAACGCCGCGUGAGCGAAGA
rnacentral:rRNA from 1 species